CACGCUCAACAGACCAAUCAUUGAGCGAGGAUCGGAAAACGUCAUCUAGCUGUGUGAGCUGUUAUACAAAAAUACUGGUGGCCAUUGAUGAACGAUUGGACUGGUUUCUUUACUCUCAGAUGAGUCAUGGAGAAGUUUAAACAUCGGUGCAGCGUGUGCGACAAGACUUUCACUGAAAAGUCCAACCUGACGAGGCAUCUGAAGAUCCAUGCUGUCGCCAGGAAGACCUUUGACUGUGAUGUCUGCAGUAAGAGCUUGACCACCAAAUCAUCGCUGGUCAGCCAUCAACAGCAACACCAGUACCCCAACAUUGUUUUGUACCGGCAAGGAGAGGCCAGGCUGAAGUGUACAGAGCCAGCCAAGUCUGUGUCAGAGGCCCCCAGCACCGUUGUUGACCCUACAUGGCUGGAUCCCAAGACAGCAGAGGCGAUGGCCAAGAGAUCCGGGGGUGAGCUGUGGAAAGGUCAGCUGGUCAUUGUGUUCGGGAAGUACGCCGGUCAAACGUUCAGGUGGCUUCUAGAAAACGAUGUCGGCUGGCUGGUGUGGUUGCUGUUCCAGUACUGCCAGCAGGGAGAGCAGAACGAGCUGCUGAAGUGGCAGAAGGAGCGACUGCUCGAGUACGCCAAAGAGUUCCCUCCUGUCACAUGGCACCUUGAGAGGAGGUUGAAGAAAGUGCAAUCGAAGCCCGACCUCUCUCAGCAGGACCCAAACUACGCCAGCGAUGCCGAGUUGUUGACUGCUGCAGAGAGUGUCCUGGACAGGUCCGAGGCAUCGGUCAGCACGCAGCUGACCACCUGGGGAGACCUCGCCAGCUCUGUGUGCCAGGACGACAGGCCCGGACCCUUGUCCCUCCGAGAGACCUCGGAACCCAAUGGCGUCGUGCUGGAGGGCUGGCAGAAGUUCUGGGAGCAGCCGCCUGAAUCCGCCCAAGCCCUUGGUAUAGUCCCUGCGAACAUCAAGUGGCUGAAGACCAAUGAGACCUACGGGCUGUUUGAGAGGGCGUCUAAGUAUAAGAAUGUUAGGGGAGAGAUGGCCGAGAGGAAGCUCUUUAAGGAGAAGAUGGAGUUCCACCCGCCCCCACCUCCUAUGGCCGUCAAGGGAGCUGUGCCCAACAUGCUCUCCUUCUUCACCACCCCUGCCUUCUUCUGGCGCCCGGUCGGCGUGAUGAAGGCAUUGAUCCGCUGCCCCAACACCAACUGCCCCGCACCGCCAGAGUACUACCUGGAGAAGAGAGGGUACGGCAGCUACGCCAGGCAAGUGUACGGCUUGAACUUCCUUUACACCCUGCUGACCGAGAGGUUGAUGUGCAAACACUGUCUCAAGCUGAGGGAGGAGCCGAGCCAGACGCAGGCGGACGACGAGGAGGACGGCGCCCACCGUGCCCAGCUGCAGUACACCUGGCUGGCGUACAGUCCGAAAAUUCUGAUGAACCUUGCCCCGGCCAUCAGAAGCAUGUUCCCUGCCAUAGUCUGUGGCAAGCGUGCUGUGGACAGGAGUGUCGUCACCCUGAUGAGCGACCGACUCAACGCUGUGUCAAUGAGCAAGGUGCAGAGGCUGCUGCAGCAGGGCCACGACGAGUGGUACGUGGAGCGUCGGGACUUGUACCAGACUCUCCUGUACGAUGCCCACACGUCGGCGGCUGGAUCGUCUCAGCAAGGCAUCCUGUCGUUUGCCAGAGCAGCCGGCACUUACACCCCUCCCAUCGCCCCGUCUCCCCUUCCGUCUGCUCGGGUCCUGAGGCGUGCGCACCUGAUCCUGGAGAUGGAGAAGAUGCCCGUGUACAGGGACCAAAUCCUCAGUACGACUGGGGAAAUCCUGUGCAUCGACGGCACAAGGAAGAUUCUCAAGAAGAUCUACGGCGACGGCCAGGGCACCAUGCAGUACGUCACCAGCGUGCUGAAUGAGUGGGGUCAGUUCUUGACCACAGUGGUGGUGGCGUCCGAGUCCGAGGGCUGCUACGCACGCAUGGCCAGAGGUCUGGUCGCCCGCUUUCGCCGUGCCAACGCUCCUGCUCCAAAGGUGGUGUACGCGGACAACAACUGCUGUCGGUGAGUUCAAUAGCAGUUGAAACUAGUGUUGUCACGAUACCAAAAUUAUGAAAAAAAAGUAAUAGUAGUAAAAUAUGACAGAACUUACAAUUAAGUGUUUUAUAAAUUAAUACAAAAAAACUCUGUUCCUGCCCUGCUUUUUGACCAUUGCUUCCCC
rnacentral:lncRNA from 1 species